AUGCGUAUCAUUAGCUAGUUGGGGAGGUAACGGCUCACCAAGGCGACGAUGAUUAGGGGCCCUGAGAGGGGGAUCCCCCACACUGGUACUGAGACACGGACCAGACUCCUACGGGAGGCAGCAGUGAGGAAUAUUGGACAAUGGUCGGAAGACUGAUCCAGCCAUGCCGCGUGCAGGAAGACGGNCCUACGGGUUUGUAACUGCUUUUCUACAGGAAGAAAGGUUCCCUUGCGAGGGAGAUUGACGGUACUGUAGGAAUAAGGACCGGCUAACUCCGUGCCAGCAGCCGCGGUAAUACGGAGGGUCCGAGCGUUAUCCGGAAUCAUUGGGUUUAAAGGGUCCGUAGGUGGGGUUCUAAGUCAGAGGUGAAAGGUUGCAGCUCAACUGUAGAAUUGCCUUUGAUACUGGAGCUCUUGAGUUAUGUUGCUGUGGCCGGAACACGUUGGUGUAGCGGUGAAAUGCAUAGAUCUCACAUAGAACACCGAUUGCGAAGGCAGGUCACAAAGCAUACACUGACACUGAGGGACGAAAGCGUUGGUGAGCGAACGGGAUUAGAUACCCCGGUAGUCCACGCCGUAAACGAUGGAUACUAGCUGUUGGGUUUUCGGACUCGGCGGCCAAGCGAAAGUGAUAAGUAUCCCACCUGGGGAGUACGUUCGCAAGAAUGAAACUCAAAGGAAUUGACGGGGGCCCGCACAAGCGGUGGAGCAUGUGGUUUAAUUCGACGAUACGCGAGGAACCUUACCAGGGCUUAAAUGGGAGAUGACCGGGUCAGAGACGACCCUUUCUUCGGACAUCUUUCAAGGUGCUGCAUGGUUGUCGUCAGCUCGUGCCGUGAGGUGUCAGGUUAAGUCCUAUAACGAGCGCAACCCCUGCCGUUAGUUGCCAGCGAGUCAAGUCGGGGACUCUAACGGGACUGCCGGUGCAAACCGAGAGGAAGGUGGGGACGACGUCAAAUCAUCACGGCCCUUACGUCCUGGGCUACACACGUGCUACAAUGGUCGGUACAAUGGUAAGCCACCCCGUGAGGGGGCGCGGAUCUUAAAAGCCGAUCACAGUUCGGAUCGGGGUCUGCAACUCGACCCCGUGAAGCUGGAAUCGCUAGUAAUCGGAUAUCAGCCAUGAUCCGGUGAAUACGUUCCCGGGCCU
rnacentral:rRNA from 1 species